UACGAAGGGGGCUAGCGUUGUUCGGAAUUACUGGGCGUAAAGCGCACGUAGGCGGAUAUUUAAGUCAGGGGGUGAAAUCCCAGAGCUCAACUCUGGAACUGCCUUUGAUACUGGGUAUCUUGAGUAUGGAAGAGGUAAGUGGAAUUCCGAGUGUAGAGGUGAAAUUCGUAGAUAUUCGGAGGAACACCAGUGGCGAAGGCGGCUUACUGGUCCAUUACUGACGCUGAGGUGCGAAAGCGUGGGGAGCAAACAGG
rnacentral:rRNA from 1 species